UGUGAUAGAAAAAGUUCAAUUUCUCUGCCCUCAAUUUACACUAUCUCGGACACUUAUAUUACCCAACCUUUUUAAAAUAAGAAUUGCUCGAAAAGAAUCAAGAUUUGUGAGAGCUGCAGACUGUAGUAGAAUAGUGAUCAGGCAAUGGAGGACAACUAGGUUAUUUCUCACUCCAGGCAACUUCUUUUUCAAUACUAUCAUAUUAAACAGGGAUAAUGGUUGAUGGCAACCAAUAAAAUACUGGUUUAGAAUGUAGAGACUAAGGGAAAUCAAGAAAGCUAGGAGGUUUUAUUGAAUAUUCUCUUCCUAUGCUGGAUCAGUGGAACUCAAAAGUAAAGAGGAGGAAUGGUAGUAUGUGAGUUUCAAUGUGGCCCUUUGGGCCCUCCAUAAAAUAUUGACACAUCUAGGGCAGGACCAUCACUAUCCAAAUGCAUUAGACUCUGGCGUUUUGUUCUGAGUAGAAAGGGAUUUCUUCUAUCGGCAGUUUUUCAUAGGGAAAGAGCUCAUAAGCACUUGAUGGAUGAUGAAGACGAUGAGAAUCUAAAGUGCAAUCAUUCUUCAAGUAACACUACAUUUUUUAGUAAUUAAAUAUAUGA